AGAUGUAAGACACGUCUCUAUUGGCCAGUCUCGAUCGGAGUGACAGCUUGGCAACACCCACAGUUAGUAACGAGAGAGGGAGUUUUGAAGUCCAUGAUGAGAACGAGUGGGACUCGGGAGCCGAGAGGAUAGAAAAUCAAUGCGCAGAAUGGAAAACCAACCGGGCAGAUCACAGGCCCAGGAACCCAUGCGAUGGCAGCUCCUGCAGAGAGUCAGGGAUAGACUUACUUCUGUCAUCAACAGGCAACCCAUUGACUUUGAAUACCUGUACUUUGUUUGCU